rnacentral:rRNA from 1 species
GACGAACGCUGGCGGCGUGCUUAACACAUGCAAGUCGAGCGGUAAGGCCCUUUCGGGGGUACGCGAGCGGCGAACGGGUGAGUAACACGUGGGUGACCUGCCCUCAGCUCUGGGAUAAGCCCGGGAAACUGGGUCUAAUACUGGAUAUGACUCCAUGACGCAUGUUGUGGGGUGGAAAGCCUUGUGCGGCUGGGGAUGGGCCCGCGGCCUAUCAGCUUGUUGGUGGGGUGAUGGCCUACCAAGGCGACGACGGGUAGCCGGCCUGAGAGGGCGACCGGCCACACUGGGACUGAGACACGGCCCAGACUCCUACGGGAGGCAGCAGUGGGGAAUCUUGCGCAAUGGGCGAAAGCCUGACGCAGCGACGCCGCGUGAGGGAUGACGGCCU